UAUUCAUGUUACUUUUAAAAUUUCUAUAAAAAAUUUUUUAUUAAAAAAGAAAAUAUAAUGAUAUAAAGAUGUGAAAUAUGCUCAUCACAGUCUGCUAGGUAAAAAAAAAAAAAAAAAAAAAAAGUGAUUAUGGGUAGAUGGGGCUAGGCAGGGAAAGAUAAGGGAAAGGCCCAGAGUCAGGCUCUCAAAAAUCUGUGGGCUUCCAUAAACCCGAAGGACACAGAAAGGCCCAGAGUCAGGCUCUUACCCAUCCCAAGAAAACAGAGAUAAGACAGUAAAAACAGAAAAAUAAUAAACCUGGCUCCCUAGCUCCAAAAUGAUAGGGAGUAUCUCCCUUUAAUGGCUACUAAGUAAUCAGAGAAACUCCCCAGACCACAAAGAAAUGCAUCCUUCGGGUGUAUCAAUAGUCCCUGCUCAAACCAAGACUGCACAAGAAUCUCAAGGCCAUGGGCUCCCUGGUUAGGCUCUCAGUAAGAGACUUCCACUAAAAGCCCUCAGUGGCAACCCUGUCAGGACCCCUCUCACUUCUCUGUAUCUCUGCUUAAUAAACUUCUAUCGCUUUGCUCACUCUGCUGUCCAUGAGAUCCAUUCUUUGACUCCGUGGGACAAGAACCUACCUCUUCUGCAUCAUUUUGGUGUUGAAACCUGGAUUACUACCACCAAAGGAGAUUUCUGGAAAGUUUGCAUAGAUCAUCAAGGAUUGGAGGUAGGAGGGAGAAGCAGAGAAAGAAUUAUAAACCACAGGAUACUGGUAUGUAUGUGAAGUGCUGACCUUCAGAGAAGUGGCACAUGCAGGUGCAUCAGUUUCAGAGUCGUAAAGAAAAUGGAGACAAGAGUUUCAAGGAGGCAAUAAAGAAGUAGGAGUGCUUAAAGCA
rnacentral:lncRNA from 12 species